CCCUCACAAGGCUGACAUUUUGCAAAGGGGCCUUGAAAAUUCUUUGCCAAACACCCCAUCCUUGGCCCAAAGAUCCUUGGGCUUCAAAGUUGCCUUGAGAAAACGCAGCCUUAGAUGGUUCAAGGACUCCACAUUAGCGUGGUCCCAAGCCAUUCAGGAAGUGAUACAUGAAAAAUCGUGGAGGUGUGGGGCCGGCUCACCAGCGAACGACUUUUUGCACAAAGAAAUGAUUUUGCUACUCCGCCUUGGGAAUCGUAAAGUGGCCAUUCCCACCGUCGCCAGCGAAGCACAUUAAGGCCACCCCUCGUGCAGUGGCACGGGAUGGUUAAGCCGAAUGGGGCGGCAAUCUCAAAAGGGAGUGAGGCAGAGGCUGAGGGGCGUGCGACCGCCCUCGAUAAGAGCUUUGGGUUCUUGAAGUUUUUCGGGACCAUGUACGAGCUUGGGGACGAGAGAUCCGAAGCAUGCAAUUAGUCCUUCAUGUUUCCAUCCAUAGAGAGGCUACGGAGAUGCGAAGAGGGGCGCUGCGGGGCGUCGGCGAGGGAGAGGCGGGGGUGUUGCUCCAGAGGUACUUGGAAGAUCAAAUGAGACUGGUGGGAUCCGUGUACGAGUGCGGGGACCACUGCGACGCCGACGACAGGUAUGUCGGGUUUUUAGAGAGCUGUCGAAGUCCUCUCCUCCCUUGAGUUUUUUUUUUUU